CGUCUAUAUACGUAUAGCAUAUCAAUAAGCGGAGGAAAAGAAACUAACUAGGAUUCCCUUAGUAACGGCGAGUGAAGCGGGAAGAGCUCAAAUUUGAAAUCUUCAAGGUUCUACCUUGACGAAUUGUAGUUUAAAGAAGUGUUUUCUGUUGGAGUUUUCGGUAAAAGUUCUUUGGAAUAGGACAUCAUAGAGGGUGAGAAUCCCGUAUUUGACCAUUAUCUUCCAACUGUGUGAUACACUUUCAAAGAGUCGGACUGUUUGGGAAUGCAGUCCAAAAUGGGUGGUAAAUUUCAUCUAAAGCUAAAUACUGGCGAGAGACCGAUAGCGAACAAGUACCGUGAGGGAAAGAUGAAAAGAACUUUGAAAAGAGAGUUAAACAGUACGUGAAAUUGUCAAAAGGGAAGCGUUUGACACCAGUGUUGUUUUCUCGAAAAUCAAUUAAAAAUGGUGGGAUUUUGCGUUGUAUUGACUUUAUCAGCUUUCUGCACUUUUUUCCUGUCUUUUUUAAUGCACUUUUCGUUUAACAAGUCAACAUCAAUUUCUUUUGUUGUAAAAGGGUCAUUGGAAGGUGGCUUUCUUUUCGGAGAAAGUGUUUAUAGCCUUUGACUUCUGCAAUCGGAGAGAUUGAGGUCUGCAGCGUAGAUCCUUCGGGGUUAGAUACAUUUGUGCUAAGUUAUAGCCUUUCAUAGACAACUUGUUGACUAUGAUCAGUCAUGUAGCUUACUCGCUUAUGUUAUUUUACCUACGCUUAGGAUGUUGACGAUCAGCUGAGCGCG
rnacentral:rRNA from 1 species